rnacentral:lncRNA from 1 species
GUUGGGUGCAGAUGAACCAUCUACAGUGUUCAUUAAUUUCCAAGAAUCACCUUGAAUCACUGAGGUCAAAAGGAAAAGCAGGUUAUAUCUAAGUUCCUCACGGGAGAUGAGAUUCUUUCCCCUUCCCCAUCUACUUGCCCCUGUGUGGACAUAGUGACUCUUUUAAAAUGUGCUGUUCUAGGAGGCCGUAGACUCUCCCCGUGAAAGGAAAGAACACCACUUGGAAUUCUUCUUAUUGUCCUUGGCCACAUAACAGCGAAUCAGGG